AGCGAACGCUGGUGGCAGGCUUAACACAUGCAAGUCGAACGGGCAUCUUCGGAUGUCAGUGGCAGACGGGUGAGUAACACGUGGGAACGUACCCUUCGGUUCGGAAUAACUCAGGGAAACUUGAGCUAAUACCGGAUACGCCCUUUUGGGGAAAGGUUUACUGCCGAAGGAUCGGCCCGCGUCUGAUUAGCUUGUUGGUGGGGUAACGGCCUACCAAGGCGACGAUCAGUAGCUGGUCUGAGAGGAUGAUCAGCCACACUGGGACUGAGACACGGCCCAGACUCCUACGGGAGGCAGCAGUGGGGAAUAUUGGACAAUGGGCGCAAGCCUGAUCCAGCCAUGCCGCGUUAGUGAUGAAGGCCUUAGGGUUGUAAAGCUCUUUUGUCCGGGACGAUAAUGACGGUACCGGAAGAAUAAGCCCCGGCUAACUUCGUG
rnacentral:rRNA from 1 species